UAACUGCUGGGGCGAUACCAUGAUCACGAAGGUGGUAUUCCCAGGGUGAGGCACAUCCUUUGCACUGCGGGUGUGCUGACCUCUGCGAUUUCCCCAAAUGCUGGAAACUUGCCUGCAUAAUUUGUGAUAGUGGGGGGCUGCGUUUGUGCUUUCCCCGG
rnacentral:snRNA from 1 species